rnacentral:tRNA from 1 species
GGCCCUGUGGUGGAACUGGCAUACACAUGGGUCUUAAAAACCCACGCCCGAGAGGGCUUGCGGGUUCGAACCCCGCCGGGGCUACCG